rnacentral:rRNA from 1 species
AGAGCGAACGUUAGCGGCGGGCCUAACACAUGCAAGUCGAACGAGAAUGAGGGGGCAACUCCUCUAGUAAAGUGGCGGACGGGUGCGUAACACGUAGGUAAUUUACCUUCCGGUGGGGGACAACAGUCCGAAAGGAUUGCUAAUACCGCAUACGUCGGCGAGAUCUCCGGAUCUUGCCGGGAAAGAUGGCCUCUCCUUGGAAGCUGUCACCGGAAGAUGAACCUGCGGCCCAUCAGCUUGUUGGUGAGGUAACGGCUCACCAAGGCAAAGACGGGUAGCUGGUCUGAGAGGAUGAUCAGCCACACUGGGACUGCGACACGGCCCAGACUCCUACGGGAGGCAGCAGUGGGGAAUAUUGGGCAAUGGGCGAAAGCCUGACCCAGCCACGCCGCGUGAGUGAUGAAGGCCUUCGGUCGUAAAGCUCUGUGGGAGGACGAAUAAGUUCGGUGCUAAUAUCACGGCCCUGACGGUACCUCCUUAGCAAGCACCGCU